rnacentral:hammerhead_ribozyme from 1 species
AUUCAUCUGACGAGUCUCGAAUAGGACGAAAUGAGCAUCCUGAGGAU